rnacentral:rRNA from 2 species
GAUUUACAUUUGAGUGAGUGGCGAACUGGUGAGUAACACGUGGGAAACCUGCCCAGAAGCGGGGGAUAACACCUGGAAACAGAUGCUAAUACCGCAUAACAACUUGGACCGCAUGGUCCGAGUUUGAAAGAUGGCUUCGGCUAUCACUUCUGGAUGGUCCCGCGGCGUAUUAGCUAGAUGGUGAGGUAACGGCUCACCAUGGCAAUGAUACGUAGCCGACCUGAGAGGGUAAUCGGCCACAUUGGGACUGAGACACGGCCCAAACUCCUACGGGAGGCAGCAGUAGGGAAUCUUCCACAAUGGACGAAAGUCUGAUGGAGCAACGCCGCGUGAGUGAAGAAGGGUUUCGGCUCGUAAAACUCUGUUGUUAAAGAAGAACAUAUCUGAGAGUAACUGUUCAGGUAUUGACGGUAUUUAACCAGAAAGCCACGGCUAACUACGUGCCAGCAGCCGCGGUAAUACGUAGGUGGCAAGCGUUGUCCGGAUUUAUUGGGCGUAAAGCGAGCGCAGGCGGUUUUUUAAGUCUGAUGUGAAAGCCUUCGGCUCAACCGAAGAAGUGCAUCGGAAACUGGGAAACUUGAGUGCAGAAGAGGACAGUGGAACUCCAUGUGUAGCGGUGAAAUGCGUAGAUAUAUGGAAGAACACCAGUGGCGAAGGCGGCUGUCUGGUCUGUAACUGACGCUGAGGCUCGAAAGUAUGGGUAGCAAACAGGAUUAGAUACCCUGGUAGUCCAUACCGUAAACGAUGAAUGCUAAGUGUUGGAGGGUUUCCGCCCUUCAGUGCUGCAGCUAACGCAUUAAGCAUUCCGCCUGGGGAGUACGGCCGCAAGGCUGAAACUCAAAGGAAUUGACGGGGGCCCGCACAAGCGGUGGAGCAUGUGGUUUAAUUCGAAGCUACGCGAAGAACCUUACCAGGUCUUGACAUACUAUGCAAAUCUAAGAGAUUAGACGUUCCCUUCGGGGACAUGGAUACAGGUGGUGCAUGGUUGUCGUCAGCUCGUGUCGUGAGAUGUUGGGUUAAGUCCCGCAACGAGCGCAACCCUUAUUAUCAGUUGCCAGCAUUAAGUUGGGCACUCUGGUGAGACUGCCGGUGACAAACCGGAGGAAGGUGGGGAUGACGUCAAAUCAUCAUGCCCCUUAUGACCUGGGCUACACACGUGCUACAAUGGAUGGUACAACGAGUUGCGAACUCGCGAGAGUAAGCUAAUCUCUUAAAGCCAUUCUCAGUUCGGAUUGUAGGCUGCAACUCGCCUACAUGAAGUCGGAAUCGCUAGUAAUCGCGGAUCAGCAUGCCGCGGUGAAUACGUUCCCGGGCCUUGUACACACCGCCCGUCACACCAUGAGAGUUUGUAACACCCAAAGUCG